rnacentral:tRNA from 1 species
UUGAUAGAAGCCAAAAUAGAGGCUAAUCACUGUUAAUGAUAGAACUGAAAUUAAUUUCCUAUCAAG